AUUGAACGCUGGCGGCAGGCCUAACACAUGCAAGUCGAACGAGUGGCGGACGGGUGAGUAAUGUCUGGGAAACUGCCCGAUGGAGGGGGAUAACUACUGGAAACGGUAGCUAAUACCGCAUACCAUCGGAUGUGCCCAGAUGGGCUUAGCUAGUCGGUGGGGUAACGGCUCACCUAGGCGACGAUCCCUAGCUGAUCUGAGCGGAGGACCAGCGACACUGGAACUGAGACCCGGUGCAGACUCCUACGGGUGGCAGCAGUGGGAAAUAUUGCACAAUGGGCGCAAGCCUGAUGCAGCCAUGCGGCGUGUAUGAAGAGGGCCUUCGGGUUGGAAAGUACUUUCAGCGAGGAGGCGUUACUCGCAGAAGAAGCACCGGCUAACUCCGUGCCAGCCGCCGCGGUAAUAC
rnacentral:rRNA from 1 species